AGCCUUGAGGUGUUUAACAUGUUAGAUUGCAAAUCUAAAGUAGUAGGCUAACGUCUACCAGGGCUU
rnacentral:tRNA from 1 species